UUUCGGUUUUUGUGUCUGCACCAGACAGAACUGUUUCGGUGCCGUUGGUUCUCUUUGUUGGUUUGUUAAUCAGUGUUCAGUUCCAUGAAUAAAAGCAUGAACAUGUACCAUGCGGCACCUUGGUCCUCUCCUUCCAACGGCCGUUACAACGAGUGAAUAGAGUAGUCUUCAUUUCCUCUGGCAUACAGAUCUGCAGAACAAGCCAUCAAUACUCUCUCCCAGACUGGAAUACUGGUACGAGACAGCCAUCAAUACACUCUCCCAGACUGGACUACUGGUACGAGACAGCCAUCAAUACUCUCUCCCAGACUGGAAUACUGGUACGAGACAGCCAUCAAUACUCUCUCCCAGACUGGACUACUGGUACGAGACAGCCAUCAAUACUCUCUCCCAGACUGGACUACUGGUA
ensembl:lncRNA